rnacentral:rRNA from 1 species
GAUGAACGCUGGCGGCGUGCCUAACACAUGCAAGUCGAGCGUGAACCGUCUGAAUGAAACUUCGGUCGAGUGAGGAUGGGGAAAGCGGCGGACGGGUGAGUAACGCGUAGGCAACCUGCCCCGUACAGAGGGAUAGCCUCGGGAAACCGGGAUUAAGACCUCAUAAUACCAUUAUCUCACAUGUGAUAAUGGUCAAAGAUUUUAUCGGUAUGGGAUGGGCCUGCGUCUGAUUAGCUGGUUGGUGGGGUAACGGCUCACCAAGGCGACGAUCAGUAGCCGACCUGAGAGGGUAAUCGGCCACAUUGGAACUGAGACACGGUCCAAACUCCUACGGGAGGCAGCAGUGGGGAAUAUUGCACAAUGGGCGAAAGCCUGAUGCAGCAACGCCGCGUGAGCGAGGAAGGCCUCGGUUGUAAAGCUCUGUCUUCUAGGACGAGUAAUAGACGGCACCUGAGGAGGAAGCCACGGCUAACUACGUGCCAGCAGCCGAC